UUUAUGGAGAGUUUGAUCCUGGCUCAGGAUGAACGCUGGCGGCGUGCCUAAUACAUGCAAGUCGAGCGAACUGACGAGGAGCUUGCUCCUUUGACGUUAGCGGCGGACGGGUGAGUAACACGUGGGUAACCUACCUAUAAGACUGGAAUAACUCCGGGAAACCGGGGCUAAUG
rnacentral:rRNA from 1 species